CCCUUAGCCUUCCAAGCUAACGAUGCGGGUUCGAUUCCCGCUACCCGCU
rnacentral:tRNA from 1 species